UAUAUCAAUAUCAAUAAAAAUAACAUAUUUUAUUUCCAUAUGGAAGAGUGAAUAGUUAAGUAACAAAGAAAUCCGUAUGAUGUUUUCACUGCGCUUAUUUAUGUAAAUAAAACGGGGGGAAAUUCUACAAAUCACCUUAAAAAAAAAAAAAAACCCACCCUAUAUAAACCUGACAAAAAAUUAAAAACUCAUGAACAUACCAAAUAAAUAGUUUCAGAACCUAUUUUAAUGUGAUGGCAGAUGUAGGCCCGGAUUAAAAUCUAUAGUGCCCAUAGGCUGUAAAAAAUUUGGUGCCCCCAAUUAAAAAAAUAUAUUGUACACAUUUCUCUACUCGAUACUUGAAUAAAUAAUAAAACUUUAUUUUAGGUUUAAUAGCCACAUCAAUAUGUACAUGUGUAUAAUACCUAUGUGGAAACAAGUAAAAACAUAAAUUUAAAAUUAAACAAAAUAUAUUUUAGAUAUAUAAAAAUAUAAAACAAUCAUAUUACAAAAAGUAACAAACCAUUAGUUUAUACUUUUCUUUUUCUGGCUUUUUGAUGGGCAAAUGUGUUAAUAGUAUCACUAAAAUCUAAUUUUUCAACCAAUUCUGCUUCAAUGCUAAAUAUUGCUAAUGCUUUCAGUUUUUCCUCCUUCAUGGUUGACCUCAAGUAGGAUUUUACUCUUUUAAGUACAGAAAAAGCUAUUUGAAGCUAUUGAAACUGCUGUACUAAGGUACAUACGCAUAACUAUUUCUAAAUUUGGAAUCAUACACUCUAAUUCUUUGGUCUUGAUGUACUUAUACAUAGAGAGAACAGAUUUUACAUUUUUAUCCGUUUUCAACAUCAUCAAUAAAAUAUUUUGCCAAAGUUUCACAUGUGUUUCUUACAACAAUAGAACUCGAUGUUUUAUACAAUGGGCAUACACCCAUAAAUAUCUGAUAUUUUUUCAUAAGCUUGUCUUCUCGAACUAAGUUGACAUUUAAGAGUAUCAAUGAUCACAUAAUAUACAUUUCUAAUAAAAUCUAUUUUCCCUGUGAUUUCUGUGAGAGGUUGAGAUCUUGAUUCAUCAGCCAUAGCCUAAAAAAAAAUAGUUUUUAAUGUUGUUAAUGUUUAUGACUUUUUCCAAAUUAUUUUAUGUGUAUUUUAAAAUUAAUAAGUUAAACAUACCUUUCUCUUUUUUUUUCUCUUGGAAUCUUUGGCAUAGUCCGAACAACCAGUAAUUUCUAUAUCCUUAUUUUCAAAAACAUCAAAAUCAUCUCUGAUCUGUACAGAUCAGAGAUGAUUUUAUUCUGUUUUAAUAUCUGUGUAAUGUUAGUUUAAAAUAAUAUUUUUUAAUAUAUUGAUUUUAUAUAUUAGGUAGGUGGCCAUUCUGUUCCUAGCUUCAGAAGUUAUUUAUAACUAUGCAAUACUUUCGCUCAGGUUAAAGAAUGGAAUACUAGUCUUGCAUCAAAUGUAUGUAAAAAUCUAGCUUUUAUAUAUUAACUUGUGAUCAGAGCAACUGGUAUGUUGGUUGGAUAUAUUACAUAUCCAUUCGAUGUUUAUCACCAGAAGUUAGUUCUACCUUUGCAGUACCUCUGCUCUACAUACCUCCUCGCUGGUUAAAGAAUGGAAUAUAAAUCUCAUAUCAAGUUGGUGUAAAAAUUUAGUUCAAUAAAUUAAGAAUUUAUAAA